UUAUUUUCGGAACGUUCAUUUCAUGGUGGAAAAGGUACACUGUACUAACUUUUAUUCCAUUAGUUCCAUUUACAAUUCACUUUAUAAAAUGACUAAAAUAAGGGUAGAAAAGUGACCGCUUGCGCAUAUUCGUGUCUAUAAUUAAUAGAAAAUGAAAAAAAAUCAAUUGAAAUAAAAGAAACCAGUAAACAAAUACCUGGCAGGUCGGAUGAAUACAAUCAAAUAAAAUAUAAUUCUGAUGCAAAAUAUUCAAAUUCAAAAGUAUUCUUAGUUGCAUGUAUAGCUUUCUGGAGCAGAGAUCUAGCAACACAUUCUAGGCACAUAUCAUUGAUAUCGGUAGAUGCGGAUCUAGGAAUUGAAGUGUAUGAGUUCCUACUACAAUUUCAAGUCAAUAUAUCAUAAUAACCGAACUAAGGAACAAGUAUUAAUAUUCAACGUAUAUUUACAAAAUAACAAAAUUUGUUUUUGGAAAAAUAAACUCUCCAAGCCAACAAGGCCCUUUUUCAAUGUAAUAUCUUCUCACUCAGUCACGUAGAUUAGGAGGAUAUUCUCAUAUUUGUUUUCUUUUACCAGGAUCGGGUUCAAGAACAUUAUCUUUUUUUGACAAUUGGGAAGAAUUGACAUUAUUAUUAAUUAUUAUUAACCACGGGACAUGAAGGAGAGCUUAGUGAUGGAGAACUAGAAGUAGAACCUGAAGAGGUUCGAAUCUUGAAGAAUCGUUUGAUCAUCUUGACUCUUACUAAAAUAUCCUACAAAUCAUAAGAAACAAAUUAAAUAUUGUAUAAGAGGAAAACAAUUAAAAAAGGAGGAGGAGGAGGGAGAUCGAAAUACCUGUUGCAAUGGAGUGACAGUAAGUGAAGAAGUUAAAACCAUCACAAAAGUUUUUACUUUGAGUGGCAGCCUAAACGUUAAAACAUUGAAGGACUGCAAAAUUUUAAAACCCUUAACUUUUUUUUUGGAAAGUUUGAAUUGAGAUUUGGGUGAAAGAAGUUUGAGAAACCCUUUUUAGUGGUUGUUGACUUGUAUCCCUUUUAGUUUGAGUCAAGUCUUUGUUAUUA
rnacentral:lncRNA from 1 species